rnacentral:rRNA from 1 species
AUUGAACGCUGGCGGCAUGCCUUACACAUGCAAGUCGAACGGUAACAGGUCUUCGGAUGCUGACGAGUGGCGAACGGGUGAGUAAUACAUCGGAACGUGCCCGAGAGUGGGGGAUAACGAGGCGAAAGCUUUGCUAAUACCGCAUACGAUCUCAGGAUGAAAGCAGGGGACCGCAAGGCCUUGCGCUCACGGAGCGGCCGAUGGCAGAUUAGGUAGUUGGUGGGAUAAAAGCUUACCAAGCCGACGAUCUGUAGCUGGUCUGAGAGGACGACCAGCCACACUGGGACUGAGACACGGCCCAGACUCCUACGGGAGGCAGCAGUGGGGAAUUUUGGACAAUGGGCGCAAGCCUGAUCCAGCCAUGCCGCGUGCAGGAUGAAGGCCUUCGGGUUGUAAACUGCUUUUGUACGGAACGAAAAGACUCUGGUUAAUACCUGGGGUCCAUGACGGUACCGCAAGAAUAAGCACUGGCUAACUACGCGCCAGCCGCCGCAGUAAGAC